rnacentral:rRNA from 1 species
CUCGGAGUUUGAUCCUGGCUCAGAUUGAACGCUGGCGGAAUGCUUUACACAUGCAAGUCGAACGGUAGAGGGGGCAACCCCUUGAGAGUGGCGAACGGGUGAGUAAUAUAUCGGAACGUGCCCAGUCGUGGGGGAUAACGUAGUGAAAGUUACGCUAAUACCGCAUACGAUCUACGGAUGAAAGCGGGGGACUCGCAAGAGCCUCGCGCGGUUGGAGCGGCCGAUAUCAGAUUAGGUAGUUGGUGAGGUAAAGGCUCACCAAGCCAACGAUCUGUAGCUGGUCUGAGAGGACGACCAGCCACACUGGAACUGAGACACGGUCCAGACCUCCGUACGGGAGGCAGCAGUGGGGAAUUUUGGACAUGACGCAAGUCUGAUCCAGCAAUGCCGCGUGCA